rnacentral:rRNA from 1 species
UACAGAGGUCUCAAGCGUUGUUCGGAUUCAUUGGGCGUAAAGGGUGCGUAGGUGGCGCCAUAAGUCAGGUGUGAAAUCUCGGGGCUCAACUCCGAAACUGCACUUGAUACUGUGGUGCUCGAGUACUGGAGAGGAGAUUGGAAUUUACGGUGUAGCAGUGAAAUGCGUAGAUAUCGUAAGGAAGACCAGUGGCGAAGGCGAAUCUCUGGACAGUUACUGACACUGAGACACGAAGGCCAGGGGAGCAAACGGG